AUUCAGCCUUGAGAUAAUCCCAGAUUUCUUUUGCUGUUUUGAGGGACAUUAUUCGCAUGAAGAUCAUUUCAGAUACAGCGGCAAAUAGGCAAGCUUUUGCCUUUGAUUUCCUUGUCUUCUUUUCCUUCUGUAAUUUGAUUUGUGCUACAGUAGGAUUUGCUGGAAGCGGAGGGACCUCGUAAUCCUCUUCUAUUACUUCCCAAAGAUCCAAGGCCUCCAAAUAAGUCUCCAUACGAACUGCCCACAUUUGAUAAUUGUCUCCAUCGAAGACUGGUGGUGUAACAGC